rnacentral:rRNA from 1 species
CAGCGCCACGAGUGGCAACCGCGAUUAUUGGGCCUAAAGCGUCCGUAGCCGGUUUGGUAAAUCUUUUGUGAAAUUGUAUAGCUCAACUGUACAGCGUGCAAGAGACACUGCCAAACUCGAGACCGGGAGGAGUCAGAAGUAUUCCAGGGGGAGCGGUAAAAUGUUAUAAUCCCUGGAGGACUACCUGUGGCGAAGGCGUCUGACCAGAACGGAUCUGACGGUGAGGGACGAAAGCCAGGGGAGCGAUCCGGAUUAGAUACCCGAGUAGUCC